UACAGAGGGGGCAAGCGUUGUUCGGAAUUACUGGGCGUAAAGGGCGCGUAGGCGGCCUUCUAAGUCAGACGUGAAAUCCCCGGGCUCAACCUGGGAAUGGCGAUGGAUACUGGCGAGCUAGAGUGUGUCAGUGGAUGGUGGAAUUCCCGGUGUAGCGGUGAAAUGCGUAGAGAUCGGGAGGAACAUCAGUGGCGAAGGCGGCCAUCUGGGACAACACUGACGCUGAAGCACGAAAGCGUGGGGAGCAAACAGG
rnacentral:rRNA from 1 species